AUGAGCAUGACUGGGGAGGAGUACAGGGUGGCUGGGAUUCACCCAGAUUGCGACACCAUUUUCCUGGUUUCACAUGGAGGUGAUACCUUGGUAGCGUACGAUAUGCAACAUCAGAAAGUUGGUUGUAUCCUUAAUCUUGAGAAGAACACACAACGAUUUCUACCUUAUGUUCCUCUGUUCUCGGAGUCAUUAGCAGAUGGAGAUGGGCGGUAG
rnacentral:rRNA from 1 species